CGCGGGGUGGAGCAGCCUGGUAGCUCGUCGGGCUCAUAACCCGAAGGUGCCUGGUAGCUCGUCGGGCUCAUAACCCGAAGGUCGUCGGUUCAAAUCCGGCCCCCGCAACCA
rnacentral:tRNA from 1 species